rnacentral:sRNA from 1 species
ACAUGCUUAUAUGAAAAUCCUUUUCUUGUGAUUCCAUCUCACAAUGUAUUCUAUAACAUUCCUCUGCUCUGUGCUUCACAAUGAUGUAAUUCUUGACAUUCUCUCCUUCUGAUUCUCUAAAAGAAUCACUUUGUACUAUACAAACCCUUUUGAUUUCUUUUUCUUUUUCUAACCCUAAUGAUGGAGGUGGAAGGUUGGUUCCGAGAACCGGUUGCCCAGACCACUCCUCCGCACGUGAUGAACCUUAUAUCUGGGCAUGGUUCUCCAGCUCCAGCCACAACAAUAACAAGAUCAACCUUCUAUGAGGC